AUAUAUAUGCAUAUAUAUACAUGUAUAUAUAUACAUAUAUAUACAUGUAUAUACAUAUAUAUAUAUACAUAUAUAUACAUAUAUAGACUCCGGCUACUAUACUAUCGAUAGUACCAAGCUCUUGGUACUAUUGAGUUUUCUACCGUCAGAUCUACUCUUUUAUCAUUUCCACCCGUUAGAUUAUACUAUUAAACUAACUACCCACUCGACCCUAGGGGACCACUAUCAAUUU
rnacentral:lncRNA from 1 species